UAAUAAGUGUUUUAUGGCACUUUUUAAAUCCAUAUCCACCUUGUGUGCAAUGUCAGUCGAUCUUCUUCAUGGAGAUCGACCAAACAUCAACCUUUAUCUUUUAACCUCUUUGUCUGAAAAAUAUUAUGAAUAACAAUUCAAAAUA
rnacentral:misc_RNA from 1 species